rnacentral:rRNA from 1 species
UACAGAGGGUGCAAGCGUUAAUCGGAAUUACUGGGCGUAAAGCGCGCGUAGGCGGCUCGACAAGUCGAGUGUGAAAUCCCCGGGCUUAACCUGGGAGCUGCAUUCGAAACUGUCUUGCUAGAGUAUGGGAGAGGGAGGUGGAAUUUCAGGUGUAGCGGUGAAAUGCGUAGAUAUCUGAAGGAACAUCAGUGGCGAAAGCGACCUCCUGGACCAAUACUGACGCUCAGGUGCGAAAGCGUGGGGAGCAAACAGG